UAGGGAAUCUUCGGCAAUGGACGAAAGUCUGACCGAGCAACGCCGCGUGAGUGAAGAAGGUUUUCGGAUCGUAAAACUCUGUUGUUAGAGAAGAACAAGGACGUUAGUAACUGAACGUCCCCUGACGGUAUCUAACCAGAAAGCCACGGCUAACUACGUGCCAGCAGCCGCGGUAAUACGUAGGUGGCAAGCGUUGUCCGGAUUUAUUGGGCGUAAAGCGAGCGCAGGCGGUUUCUUAAGUCUGAUGUGAAAGCCCCCGGCUCAACCGGGGAGGGUCAUUGGAAACUGGGAGACUUGAGUGCAGAAGAGGAGAGUGGAAUUCCAUGUGUAGCGGUGAAAUGCGUAGAUAUAUGGAGGAACACCAGUGGCGAAGGCGGCUCUCUGGUCAGUAACUGACGCUGAGGCUCGAAGGCGUGGGGGGCAAACAGG
rnacentral:rRNA from 1 species